rnacentral:rRNA from 1 species
AUUGAACGCUGGCGGCAGGCCUAACACAUGCAAGUCGAGCGGAUGAAGAGAGCUUGCUCUCUGAUUUAGCGGCGGACGGGUGAGUAAUGCCUAGGAAUCUGCCUGUAGUGGGGGACAACGUUUCGAAAGGAACGCUAAUACCGCAUACGUCCUACGGGAGAAAGUGGGGGAUCUUCGGACCUCACGCUAUCAGAUGAGCCUAGGUCGGAUUAGCUAGUUGGUGAGGUAAAGGCUCACCAAGGCGACGAUCCGUAACUGGUCUGAGAGGAUGAUCAGUCACACUGGAACUGAGACACGGUCCAGACUCCUACGGGAGGCAGCAGUGGGGAAUAUUGGACAAUGGGCGAAAGCCUGAUCCAGCCAUGCCGCGUGUGUGAAGAAGGUCUUCGGAUUGUAAAGCACUUUAAGUUGGGAGGAAGGGCAGUAAGUUAAUACCUUGCUGUUUUGACGUUACCAACAGAAUAAGCACCGGCUAACUUCGUGCCAGCCGCCGCCGUAACAC